CGUAACAAGGUCUCCGUUGGUGAACCAGCGGAGGGAUCAUUACCGAGUUUUCAACUCCCAAACCCUUAUGUGAACCUACCUAUCGUUGCUUCGGCGGACUCGCCCCAGCCGGACGCGGACUGGACCAGCGGCCGCCGGGGACCAUCAAACUCUUGUAUUAUCAGCAUCUUCUGAAUACGCCGCAAGGCAAAACAAAUAAAUUAAAACUUUCAACAACGGAUCUCUUGGCUCUGGCAUCGAUGAAGAACGCAGCGAAAUGCGAUAAGUAAUGUGAAUUGCAGAAUCCAGUGAAUCAUCGAAUCUUUGAACGCACAUUGCGCCCGCCAGCAUUCUGGCGGGCAUGCCUGUUCGAGCGUCAUUUCAACCCUCGACCUCCCUUUGGGGAAGUCGGCGUUGGGGACCGGCAGCACACCGCCGGCCCUGAAAUGGAGUGGCGGCCCGUCCGCGGCGACCUCUGCGUAGUAAACCAACUCGCACCGGAACCCCGACGUGGCCACGCCGUAAAACACCCAACUUCUGAACGUUGACCUCGAAUCAGGUAGGACUACCCGCUGAACUUAAGCAUA
rnacentral:rRNA from 1 species